ACUAGCUCCAGCUAAGGAAUGUUCUCUGGCGCCUUAAGCAGAAGAAAACAAAGAAGAAGCCUACAGAGUUGUACUGUGAAAGAGUUGAAAAAUGAGUUGUUUUUUCAACCUCACUGCGUUCGGGACAGUGUUACAUGUUACAGAACUGGACUUGCCUUUAAGGUUCUGCUGGAAAGUUGGACCCGGAAAAUCUGAGUCGAUUGCUGAAUUGGAUUUCGUGAGUGAGAAACAAAAUGGCGAGCUGUAACCCAUGGAGCCCUUUAAUUGCGGUCUAGCAGGAGCUACAACCUCUGCUGGGUCUUCUGAACCGGUAUGACCUGCCCAUGAUUUUCUGCUGAAAUAGCAGUGGAUUCAGAAAAACGAGAUUAACCCCUCAGGAUCAUCAGAGAUAAAACACAUUAAUUUAUGAGGUUAUUCAGUCUUUUCUGAAUUGUUUUACUAUUGUAUUUUAUUGUUUAUUUCCCCCCUCAAACCACAUUCAAUAUUCAUUGUUGCAGUGUGUAAAAUGUGAAAAUUUCUGUUGGGUUUAAAAUAGAAACAAUGAAUGGUUAAAACAGGAAAUAAAAAACUUACCCUUUUGAAAAAAGUACUAAGUAUGUGCAUAACGGGCUGCUUAUCUGGGCAACAAACGAAGAGCAAUAAAACGCAACCUGCAAGUAUAAUAUAAAGCAACAGCCUUUUUAAAAGGUUAGAUAUAAAAUUAAAUUAAUACAGUUUAAGUUUGAUUUCUGUGCAAAUGGGAAGCAUCUCAGUACAAUGGUAAAACAUAGCAGCAUCCUCUUCUCUUUUGAAAUGCAACUAUCCUCGGACCUGAGCAACAAAACACAAUAAUAUCGCUAAGUUUCAUUCUAAAUAUAUACUGACAAAAUUCACUAAUCAAUUUAUAAAAACAACUCCUUUGUUACUAAAUAUAUGUGCCUAUGGCAUGAUUGUGUUUUUACGUGGUUAAUGAGAUUUCUGUUAUUAGUGGACAGCUUCUCAACAUUGGGCUUGUAAGAUGUAACUUGAUGAUACCUAACAUUAGGUUUAAAUUUCAAAACAGGUAUUAAAUCAAAUAUUCUGAAAGUAAAGGAAACUACUUUGGAUUGAAUUCUCUUUUAAAUGCAGAUUAUCUGUUUGUAAUAUUGCUGUUUCUUUUCUUUCAACAAAUAAUAAGCUGGCAUUUUAAACUUAUUUUCUGGUCUGUGGUCAUUAAUACACCUACACAUUUCACUACUCCCAUAGCUGAACCUAGCACUGGUCUUAUUGUGUGUUCUAUAAUGUAAUAUUACCAGAUCAAUAUUUCUAAAUUGGGUUGGUAGGCCAGCAUUUAUUUAUUAUGAGGUGUGCCUGUUUGUGAAAAGUACUUGUUAGCAUAUUAUUUAUGCCAUAGUUACAUAUUAAUAACUUAAUAUGUUAUGUUAACAUACCAUUUACGUUCUCAGUUUGUUUUUUAUGUGUCAUGUAACGUUAGCAUACCGUACAAUUGUUCAGCCUGUUGUUGCCUCUAUUCUAUCUGUAUUUUAAAUUGCCUUUCAAGAUGACAUGUCUGUUCUGAUGACAGGUGUUGGAUUUUAUCAAAAAAUUUCCCCCAAAA